GUCGAGCGAGCGGAACCACAGAUUUACUUCGGUAAUGACGUUGGGAAAGCGAGCGGCGGAUGGGUGAGUAACACGUGGGGAACCUGCCCCUAAGUCUGGGAUACCAUUUGGAAACAGGUGCUAAUACCGGAUAAUAAAGCAGAUCGCAUGAUCAGCUUUUGAAAGGCGGCGUAAGCUGUCGCUAAGGGAUGGCCCCGCGGUGCAUUAGCUAGUUGGUAAGGUAACGGCUUACCAAGGCGACGAUGCAUAGCCGAGUUGAGAGACUGAUCGGCCACAUUGGGACUGAGACACGGCCCAAACUCCUACGGGAGGCAGCAGUAGGGAAUCUUCCACAAUGGACGCAAGUCUGAUGGAGCAACGCCGCGUGAGUGAAGAAGGUUUUCGGAUCGUAAAGCUCUGUUGUUGGUGAAGAAGGAUAGAGGUAGUAACUGGCCUUUAUUUGACGGUAAUCAACCAGAAAGUCACGGCUAACUACGUGCCAGCAGCCGCGGUAAUACGUAGGUGGCAAGCGUUGUCCGGAUUUAUUGGGCGUAAAGCGAGCGCAGGCGGAAAAAUAAGUCUAAUGUGAAAGCCCUCGGCUUAACCGAGGAACUGCGUCGGAAACUGUUUUUCUUGAGUGCAUAAGAGGAGAGUGGAACUCCAUGUGUAGCGGUGGAAUGCGUAUAUAUAUGGAAGAACAC
rnacentral:rRNA from 1 species